rnacentral:rRNA from 1 species
GAUCAUGGCUCAGGAUGAACGCUGGCGGCGUGCUUAACACAUGCAAGUCGAACGAAGCACUUUAACCUGAUUCUUCGGAUGAAGGUUUUUGUGACUGAGUGGCGGACGGGUGAGUAACGCGUGGGUAACCUGCCUCAUACAGGGGGAUAACAGUUAGAAAUGACUGCUAAUACCGCAUAAGACCACAGUACCACAUGGUACAGUGUGAAAAACUCCGGUGGUAUGAGAUGGACCCGCGU